rnacentral:lncRNA from 1 species
AUGAUCCCACGAAAUUGCAAGAUCAAGCGUAAAACAACUUAACACAGCAAAAGCUGCUGCAAAUCAGUUUCUCUCUUCUCUUUUAUGCAGAAGUUUAAACUCUCUAAUUUCAUCAAGAUGAUCAGAUCGAAGAAUCAUAGAUUGUUCUACUAUUUCCAUUGAUAUGAAUGGCAGAAGAUUAUACAAAUGAUGAAUAUAUCGAAGAACCAACAAUCCGAUUGCGAAAGAAGACGGCCCAAUUGGUGGUUGUAGGGACGAAAUCUUAAGUUUUUCAAAUAGAAACCACUCCUCCUUUUUACAAAUUUGAUUUUUCUUCUAUUUGAAAUUUGAAUCGAAUUUUAGUAUAUCCAAAUCAAUUUGGUACACGAAUUUGACUUUUUGCCCAAGAAAUUGAGUUUAAAUGAUUCAAUGAUAUAACAGAAAACGGUUUAGAAGACGAAUGAAGAAAAGAGCAGGAAUAUCAUAGGUACUUCUGUGAUGGAGAAAGGGUGGUGAAAAGUGAGGAUUUUACGGGUAGGAAAAUAGUGCAUAUUAGAUGUUUGACGUAAUUACCAAGAGGAUGUGAUCAGGAGAAGAUGGUAAGAAAUUGUGUUGAGGAGUAGUAGAAUUCACUGGUUGCUUUGCUCAAUUCCAAUUCAACCCAUUUAAUCUUGAAACUCCCUUCAAUGUUUCAUUUGCUUCGACAAAGGUCACUGCUUUAAUACAAGAACCACAAAACCAGGUCUUUUAUAUGUCCUUCUUUCGUGUAUCUUAAUUGGCUCAAUCAUUAACCAAAUUAACCUCAAAAAAUGUAUUUGAAGUUUUUUUUGCAUAUUUAACUCUAAAAAGGAAAAAAAAUGAUAUGUAGAUUUACCAUUAUUGUACGCUUUUGAUUUCUUAUAUAUUUUAUCGUAUAUUAAUUUGUCCAUUUUUGGUAAUAACAAAAAUAAUUAUUUAUUUUUAUGAAUUGGCAGGUUCAACUUCUAAAACUAAUACAUGAGCGAUGUGGUACACUAACAUUGUGAAUGCAAGAAGAGACUCAUGUGAAGGUCGUGAUAACAAGGUAAGAGAGAAACAAAAUCUUUAGAAUCAACAUAUUUGAACUGUAUUUCAUAAAGUGCUUUGAAUCUAUGCUUUCUGCUAUACAAGUGGAAAAGGAACAAGCGAUAUUAAGAUGCCCUCAUUUCAAAUUAGUGAUUGAUAUUUUAUAUGCGAAAAAAGGAAAAAUGGUUUGAAUCGCUAAACUAUGAAGCAGCGUGAUAGUGCUAUGGUAAAUAAGGUUGUUCGGUCGAAAGAUGUGACUGAACAACCACGAAAAUAUGUGAGAAAGAGGUUGACGAGUAAAUAUUUAUGAAAUCACCGAAUAGGCAAUGGUUUAAAUUGAAUUGUAUAUGUAUAGAGAAAUUUGCAUUUUUAGUGUGAAGAAAAUGGAUAUUUAACUCUAAAAAGAAGGAAAAAAAUGAGAUACAGAUUUACCUUCAUUGUACGCUUUUGAUUUCUUAUAUAUUUGUCGUUUAUUGAUUUGUCCAUUUAUGGUAAUAACAAAAUUGUUAUUUAUUUUUAUGAAUUGACAGAUUCAACUUCUAAAACUAAUAUAUUGGCAAUGUGGUACACUAACAUUGU